GACGAACGCUGGCGGCGUGCUUAACACAUGCAAGUCGAACGGUAAGGCCCUUCGGGGUACACGAGUGGCGAACGGGUGAGUAACGCGUGGGUGAUCUACCCUGCACUUCGGGAUAAGCCUGGGAAACUGGGUCUAAUACCGGAUAGGACCACUGCCUGCAUGGGUGGUGGUGGAAAGCUUUUGCGGUGUGGGAUGGGCCCGCGGCCUAUCAGCUUGUUGGUGGGGUGAUGGCCUACCAAGGCGACGACGGGUAGCCGGCCUGAGAGGGUGACCGGCCACACUGGGACUGAGAUACGGCCCAGACUCCUACGGGAGGCAGCAGUGGGGAAUAUUGCACAAUGGGCGCAAGCCUGAUGCAGCGACGCCGCGUGAGGGAUGACGGCCUUCGGGUUGUAAACCUCUUUCAGCACCGACGAAGCGCAAGUGACGGUAGGUGCAGAAGAAGGACCGGCCAACUACGUGCCAGCCGCCGCCGUAAGAC
rnacentral:rRNA from 1 species